UACGAAGGGGGCUAGCGUUGCUCGGAAUCACUGGGCGUAAAGGGCGCGUAGGCGGCCAUUCAAGUCAGGGGUGAAAGCCUGUGGCUCAACCACAGAAUUGCCUUUGAUACUGUUUGGCUAGAGACCGGAAGAGGUAAGUGGAACUGCGAAUGUAGAGGUGAAAUUCGUAGAUAUUCGCAAGAACACCAGUGGCGAAGGCGGCUUACUGGUCCGGUUCUGACGCUGAGGCGCGAAAGCGUGGGGAGCAAACAGG
rnacentral:rRNA from 1 species